AUGCAAGUCGAACGAUGAAGCCCAGUCAUUGCUGGGUGGAUUAGUGGCGAACGGGUGAGUAACACGUGAGUAACCUGCCCUUAACUCUGGGAUAAGCCUGGGAAACUGGGUCUAAUACCGGAUAGGAGCGUCCACCGCAUGGUGGGUGUUGGAAAGAUUUAUCGGUUUUGGAUGGACUCGCGGCCUAUCAGCUUGUUGGUGAGGUAAUGGCUCACCAAGGCGACGACGGGUAGCCGGCCUGAGAGGGUGACCGGCCACACUGGGACUGAGACACGGCCCAGACUCCUACGGGAGGCAGCAGUGGGGAAUAUUGCACAAUGGGCGCAAGCCUGAUGCAGCGACGCCGCGUGAGGGAUGACGGCCUUCGGGUUGUAAACCUCUUUCAGUAGGGAAGAAGCGAAAGUGACGGUACCUGCAGAAGAAGCACCGGCUAACUACGUGCCAGCAGCCGCGGUAAUACGUAGGGUGCGAGCGUUAUCCGGAAUUAUUGGGCGUAAAGAGCUCGUAGGCGGUUUGUCGCGUCUGUCGUGAAAGUCCGGGGCUUAACCCCGGAUCUGCGGUGGGUACGGGCAGACUAGAGUGCAGUAGGGGAGACUGGAAUUCCUGGUGUAGCGGUGGAAUGCGCAGAUAUCAGGAGGAACACCGAUGGCGAAGGCAGGUCUCUGGGCUGUAACUGACGCUGAGGAGCGAAAGCAUGGGGAGCGAACAGGAUUAGAUACCCUGGUAGUCCAUGCCGUAAACGUUGGGCACUAGGUGUGGGGACCAUUCCACGGUUUCCGCGCCGCAGCUAACGCAUUAAGUGCCCCGCCUGGGGAGUACGGGCCGCAAGGCUAAAACUCAAAGGAAUUGACGGGGGCCCGCACAAGCGGCGGAGCAUGCGGAUUAAUUCGAUGCAACGCGAAGAACCUUACCAAGGCUUGACAUGUNCUCGAUCGCCGUANAGAUACGGUUUCCUCUUUUGGGGCGGGUUCNCAGGUGGUGCAUGG
rnacentral:rRNA from 1 species